UCAAUUGUUAGUUUCAAAGAUAAAAUUCUUUUCAGGCCAUACUGAUGGAACUAUAAAGGUCUGGGCUGGUACAGGCAGCAGUCUUCAUCUUUUCCAAGAAAUUCAAGAACAUACCAAGGCUAUUACAAGCUUGUAUAUUCUACAAUCUGGGGAGAGAUUAUAUAGUGGUUCACUUGAUAAAACUACAAGGGUCUGUUCAAUUGGCAAUGAACUAAUACAUUGUGUACAAGUGCAUGAUAUGAAGGGUCAGGUUCAUAAUUUAGUUGUUGCCAAUAGUAUUUCUUGCUUCAUUCCCCAAGAGCCGGUGUCAAGGUUCAUGCAUGGAAUGGACAAUCAAAAGUAUUGAAUCAAAAUAAGUACAUCAAGUGCUUGGCUCUCGACCAUGGAAGAUUAUAUUGUGGAUGUCAUGAUAGCAGUAUACAGGAACUUGAUUUGGCAUCAGGAACACUCAGCAGCAUUCAAAGUGGUUCAGAAAAUUGCUGGGCGAAGCACAUCCGAUCCAUG